rnacentral:rRNA from 1 species
CCUACGGGUGGCAGCAGUGAGGAAUAUUGGUCAAUGGGCGCGAGCCUGAACCAGUCAAGUAGCGUGAAGGAUGACUGCCCUACGGGUUGUAAACUUCUUUUAUAAAGGAAUAAAGUGAGGCACGUGUGCAUUUUUGUAUGUACUUUAUGAAUAAGGCUAGGCUAACUCCGUGCAAGCCGCAGAGGUAAUACGGAGGAUCCGAGCGUUAUCCGGAUUUAUUGGGUUUAAAGGGAGAGUAGAUGGGUUGUUAAGUCAGUUGUGAAAGUUUUCGGCUCAACCGUAAAAUUGCAAUUGAUACUGGCAGCCUUGAGUACAGGUGAGGUAGGCGGAAUUCGUGGUGUAGCGGUGAAAUGCUUAGAUAUCACGAAGAACUCCGAUGGCGAAGGCAGCCUACUAAACUGCCACUGACAUUGAUGCUCGAAAGUGUGGGUAUCAAACAGGAUUAGAUACCCUUGUAGUC